rnacentral:tRNA from 1 species
GGUGGGAUACCCAAGUGGCCAACGGGGGCAGACUGUAAAUCUGCUGGCUUUCGCCUUCGGAGGUUCGAAUCCUCCUCCCACCA